GUGAGGAUAGCUCAAUUGAGAGAGUGUUAGAUUGAAGUUUUGAAGGUCACGUGUUCAAUCCACAUUCAUCACA
rfam:Gossypium hirsutum cultivar TM-1 chromosome 6, whole genome shotgun sequence